AGUCGACGGUGAAGCAGAGCUUGCUCUGUGGAUCAGUGGCGAACGGGUGAGUAACACGUGAGCAACCUGCCCCGGACUCUGGGAUAAGCGCUGGAAACGGCGUCUAAUACUGGAUACGAGACGUGAUCGCAUGAUCAACGUUUGGAAAGAUUUUUCGGUCUGGGAUGGGCUCGCGGCCUAUCAGCUUGUUGGUGAGGUAAUGGCUCACCAAGGCGUCGACGGGUAGCCGGCCUGAGAGGGUGACCGGCCACACUGGGACUGAGACACGGCCCAGACUCCUACGGGAGGCAGCAGUGGGGAAUAUUGCACAAUGGGCGGAAGCCUGAUGCAGCAACGCCGCGUGAGGGACGACGGCCUUCGGGUUGUAAACCUCUUUUAGCAGGGAAGAAGCGAAAGUGACGGUACCUGCAGAAAAAGCGCCGGCUAACUACGUGCCAGCAGCCGCGGUAAUACGUAGGGCGCAAGCGUUAUCCGGAAUUAUUGGGCGUAAAGAGCUCGUAGGCGGUCUGUCGCGUCUGCUGUGAAAACCCGAGGCUCAACCUCGGGCCUGCAGUGGGUACGGGCAGACUAGAGUGCGGUAGGGGAGAUUGGAAUUCCUGGUGUAGCGGUGGAAUGCGCAGAUAUCAGGAGGAACACCGAUGGCGAAGGCA
rnacentral:rRNA from 1 species